rnacentral:piRNA from 1 species
UUGUGGGUCGUGAUCAGGAUGGAAGAAC